UCCGAUACAUCGCCUCGCGAUAAAUAAGAAAUUCAAACUGUAUGUACAUUUUCUUGUAAAAAGUCUAUUUAUAUAUAAGACUUGGAUCAAAAUUACAUUGGCAAGGGGAGCUGCCCAACAGUAGCGUAACAAAAUGACACGCGGAAAUCAACGUGACCUGGCACGAGCCAAAAAUCAAAAGUCUGAACAGACGAAAGGCAAAAUAACUGAUGGAAUGGCAGUGGAACAAUUUAAAUCCAAGAAAAAGCGAUAUCACAUGAACUGCAAAAAAUUUAUAAUGUCAUCCGAUAAUUUGGGGACGUUGAAUUAUGCCAGAAAAACAGAAGAAAAAAGAUAAAUAGUCUGGUGCUACGCUGGGCGGAGCAAAUAAAAAUAACGCUUACAUGUAAAGACGGCAGAGUGGAACGUACUGUCUUGCUUGGAGAAAAAACUUAUAAGAUCAAGCGCAAAACUAGGAGCAAAAGCCGCAAUCUGGUAAAUAAGUAGCUAAUAAGCUGCCAAAUAGCAACAUCUAAACACGCAUCUCACAAGAAAAUUGACAGAGUCUUCACGAAACCUCCUCACACUUUUAUUGAUCAUGUGAUCUUUGGUAUGCUUCCUGAGGACAGUAAAAGCCCGGAGACCGGUCCCAAAGUCAAAUUUGCAGCAAGCGUAGGCCCAUAGGAACAUGCCUUUACUAUUUCGGUAAGAAUUGGCUUGACCUCGGACAUUGGCUUUUGUCCAAGUGCUGUAUACGCAGAAACUUUGAGACAUGGAUUUAAAAUAAUGUAAUGAAAAAUACAUUAUCAGAUUGCAAAUUAACUUAUGUUCAAUAAAAAUCGUCCUUUUUGCGUGUACACUUGUUUCGAGUUGCGGUAAACGCGUUUACAUCAUUUGGUUUUCACUCUUUCUGCUCAUAAAGGUGACAACUUGCACAUUAUAUAUGUAGAUGUAACAAUGCAUACUCUGUAUAAU